UCUUGGUUUUGUAUUCUAGAGAGUAAUACAAUUUUUCUGCUCUUAUAUAUUAUGAGAGAGUGUUGAAAUAUCGAUUUAGAUUUUGACCAUCAAGUUCUGAAAUUUUACUGUAUUUAAUUCCAAUUGAUCCAGGACUUCUACUUCAUACGUGAAAGUGAAAAUUUGAGAAGACAUUAAGUCAUCAAUACACCACCAAAGAAUUAAGAAGGUAUCAUCGAAUGUAAAAAGGUCCUACAUUGUUGUGUUAGAUGAAGGAACAUGCCAUGUCCUUGUAUAGCUCAGAAAAAAUGCACAAAUAAACAGUUGGUAUUACAGGAUUUCCAUCGACUUUGUUGGGAUUUGCUUCUUUUCAUGAUUUUACAAGUCGACAAACAAUGAUUAUGUGCUCAAGGAACUUGAAAACAUGAAGGAACAACGGCUUGCACAUAGAAAUAUGCUAUGCUAUGCCAUACUAGAUAUGCAUAAAUGUCACCACAAAGAAAUCAACUAUUUCUAUUGCAAAAGCAAGCUAAAAGAGCUAAAUCAAAAAGGCGGUGACUCUUGUAGAAUUCAAAUAAUACACUAUCUUUGUCACAAGUUCAGAGUCAUGACAAAAAUCAAAGUGUGGUUUGAACUUCCUUCAUCAGCUAGAGAUAAAGGUCAGAAAAGUUAAAUUUCCAUAUAAUUUUGCUUGUGUAUGUAUAGGUAUACAUACCUUCAUAGAUAAAUUGAUUUACUAUCAUUUAUACUAUUUUGUCUUCCAUCAUUUUGGAGGACAUGCUUCCGCGGCUACACAAUCAACUACUUGCACCUCAAACUUUGAAGUAGGUGAGUCGGAAGGGAAUUGGAAAAUUCAAAAUAGAAAGACUCAAUCAGAUAUGGUAGGUACUUUACAUGGUCUGUGGUGAUAUUAAGUACAAAUCAGUUCUAUCUUCUUCCGGACAUAAUUACCCUCUAGAUAAUGUAAGAAUUUAAUAUGAUUUGUAAAAAUUAGUUCUCUUUCUUUGGGACAUAAUUACCACCAACUAAUAUAAGAAUGUGACUAUGAUUUUAUCUUCCCAAAUGUCAGUCACUUGGAUGUAACUUGAUUUCACUGGGAAUAUGAUUUUAUUUCCUCGGAGAGGUUUCAAAUACAUUGCUUCAGUAUUUCUUAUAAAAGAAGGCAUAUUGUUAACUUUAGCUGGUAAAUAUCAGAUGUUAGCCUCAAAUCUCAAUUGAAGGGGAAAUGACUAGUUCUUCUAAGCAUUUUAAAAGACUAUGCUAUUUAGAUUGAUCAUAACUAUUGCUUUGUAAACAGAUACACUGCAUAUGGAAAAUGGAGUCUUGAUUCUCAAAGUAAAAUUGAAAUUGGCUUCACGACAAAACUCAUAAAGAUCUUGAUGAUAAUUCACAGUCUCAGUUGCGAAGAGCAAAAAAUAUAACUAUUUUGUAAGCUCUCUUUGUUCAUGCUUGUUGUUUAUCCCUGAGUUUAUUUCAAUUUAAGACAAUAUUAGUCAUUCAUAGACUUAUCAGGCUUUGCUAUGAAGUUUGAAGCUUUAAGGAUCGUCGUCGUUUAAGUUUUCACUUUAUUUUUUUGUUGAAUUCCACGACCAACUUCCUAAGGAGCUCAAGAGAAAUCAUAUUAUUGUCAUUACUGGUCAGAUGAUGCAUUCUAGGAUUUUUAGGGAAGUUCUCCUCUGCCUCUGCAGUUAGCUCGAUUGCAUAUGUAAUGGUCGAAUUUCGAGAUGUUUAUCCUAAGGUUUCAGGUUUUAUCAGGUUUGACUACUAGAGUAGCUCAUAGUGAUAGUCUGUUACUUUCAAGUCCAUUUUUAACCGUCGAUAGAAGAUUUUGUUACCUGCAAUAGAGACCACCCGUGAGGAUAUCAAGAUUUAGUUGUGGAUCUGUGUCCAGGUAAAUUUAACACCGCUUGCAAUUUGAUCCGUGAGAUACUGGCUUGCUGUUAACCUACCCAAUGUCCAUGUUAUCGUGCACAUUAUAGACAAAUAAAAGGUAAUUGAUUAUUCUACUAUUAAAUUUAUCUUCCUACUUAUCUAUAUUUUGCAACUAGACUUUACUUGAGCUUCUAACAUAUCAUCUUUUAAAUUUGUCUUAGACUUUACAUGUAAGAUAAUUCAUUUGCAAUCGAAGCAUUAGUACAACUGAUUAACCAAAUAGAGAAUCCUCCCAGUCAUAGGUCUCCUUAGCAAAUAAUCCUAAUGACUCCUUGUGGCCUUUUGUUUUGUUAUAUUUGAUGAAAUAUUUACUAAAACAUGCAAGUCAGAAUUCUUUGUUCUCUCUUAUUUAUGGUUGUCGAGUUAUCACUAUGCAUUAUUUUAUUAGCUUGCUCUAUCUUAGGAUAAUCUUCAGUCAUUACUUCAGGCUUUUUAUUUUAUUUUAUUGAUAAACUAUAACUUUAGGCUUCUUUAUUAUGUUUAUGGAUCUUUUUUUGUUUUGUGUUUGUUCUUGAUAAUUUAAGUUUAUUGGAAUUUUUGGAGAAAACUAUACUCUUAUUUUGAUCAUAGUUCUUUUGUUAUUAUGUUCCUUAAGUGUCUUCCUGGGAGUUCACCACGUUAGCAAUCCUUUGAGUUUUAUACCCUAGCCUCUUACGCCAUCUCAAUUAUUUUUGCAAGAGAAUUAACCUGUCUUAUGAAGUUUAGAACCUGUGGUUAAACUCAAAACACAUGAUAGAAAGCCACAUCAACAAUACAAGUGUUAUCUUAUUAUUUGAGAUAUUGGUACCUUUAUUUAUUAAGAAUAUAGAUAUUUUCGAUGAAUGAAAAGCUUUCAUAAGAAAAGCAACUCUUCAGUGAAGAUUACCAAAAGAACAAGGAGAAGUGCAUCUACAAAUUCAUGACACAAAAGCAUUGUGUUCAUAGUUUGAUGCUCUGUAUGUUUGUAAUGACAUAGAUGAACAUGAUUCUCCCUUUGUGUGCGAGUCUCAGCAACUCACUAGAAAUAUGGUUAAUACUUGAUCUAUAUGCAAGAAUACUUUAGUAAAUUUGUUAUUUAAACAUUUCAUGAAAGAUAAUUCAAAUUUUUACUAGCUGAUUUUUCCUUUUGGUUCAUUUGGAUUCUUAAGUGUGGAGAGAAAACAUAUAUAUCUCUAUUUGACAUAGACAAUCAAGUUGUGGGACUACACUGGGUAUGUUGUUGUUGUUGUUGACAGAGGUGAUAAAGUUGAAGAGUGAACAUAUUCGUGGAGCUUUUUCCAGAAAUAACAGAUGUGAUCUUUCCCCAAACAAUUUCAUGGAAAUUAUCUCCUUGGCUGUUAAAUUUGUGUGUUGUUUAUCGAAAUACAUAAAAUUUACUUGAUUGUACACAUUUUUUUGGAUUAGGUGCUCAUACUUUGAUCAUUAGAAAUUAUAGGUAUCUACACAUCUGGCGCUAAAAGAGUUUUGCCUCUCAAGCGUGGUUGCACUUCUCUUCACAUGUGACUUCCCACAGGGGAUCAUUGCCCUUUGAUGAAAAACAAUGGUGCUUGAGGAUUAUUUGUGUGUUAAUGGAGUCAUCCUUUCAAUCUUCUUAAUUUUUUCAUUUUCUAGGGAGUUAUGCUUCAAUACGUUGAGAGUUUGAUCUCUAAAACUCCAAGAAAUUUGAUCUACAAUGAUUGAUUUCAACUUUAUCACUGGCCUGUAAAUUGCAAGGGAGGAUAACUUUACAAGUUGUAUCUAAGACCCUUAACUAUCGGAUGGACAAUUUUAUUAGUUAUUGUUAGGUUAAUUUUGUUCCAAUGAAGGUAUUCUUAAGGGUAAACUUGUAUGUACUUAGUUGAGAUACUUCUACGUCAAUAUAUCUAUAAAUGCUUAUA